rnacentral:rRNA from 1 species
UGGGGAAUCUUGCGCAAUGGGCGAAAGCCUGACGCAGCAACGCCGCGUGCAGGAUGAAGGCCUUCGUGGUCGUAAACUGCUUUCGGCAGGGACGAAAUUGACGGUACCUGCAGAAGAAGCUCCGGCUAACUACGUGCCAGCAGCCGCGGUAACACGUAGGGGGCGAGCGUUGUCCGGAUUCAUUGGGCGUAAAGAGCUCGUAGGUGGUUCAGUAAGUCGGGUGUGAAAGCUCCGAGCUCAACUCGGAGAGGCCACCCGAUACUGCUGUGACUCGAGUCCGGUAGAGGAGCGUGGAACUCCUGGUGUAGCGGUGAAAUGCGCAGAUAUCAGGAAGAACACCCGUAGCGAAGGCGGCGCUCUGGGCCGGUACUGACGCUGAGGAGCGAAAGCGUGGGUAGCAAACAGG